rnacentral:rRNA from 1 species
UACGUAGGGACCGAGCGUUGUCCGGAUUCAUUGGGCGUAAAGAGCUCGUAGGCGGCUGCUCAAGUCGAAUGUGAAAACUCGAGGCUCAACCUCGAGCCUGCAUUCGAUACUGGGCGGCUAGAGUCUGGUAGGGGGGAUCUGGAAUUCCUGGUGUAGCGGUGGAAUGCGCAGAUAUCAGGAAGAACACCGACGGCGAAGGCAGCUCGCUGGGACGGUACUGACGCUGAGGCGCGAAAGCGUGGGGAGCGAACAGG